rnacentral:rRNA from 1 species
GACGAACGCUGGCGGCGUGCCUAAUACAUGCAAGUAGAACGUUGAAGGAGGAGCUUGCUUCUCUGGAUGAGUUGCGAACGGGUGAGUAACGCGUAGGUAACCUGCCUGGUAGCGGGGGAUAACUAUUGGAAACGAUAGCUAAUACCGCAUAAUAGUAGAUGUUGCAUGACAUUUGCUUAAAAGGUGCAAUUGCAUCACUACCAGAUGGACCUGCGUUGUAUUAGCUAGUUGGUGAGGUAACGGCUCACCAAGGCGACGAUACAUAGCCGACCUGAGAGGGUGAUCGGCCACACUGGGACGGAGACACGGCCCAGACGCCUACGGGAGGCAGCAGUAGGGAAUCUUCGGCAAUGGACGGAAGUCUGACCGAGCAACGCCGCGUGAGUGAAGAAGGUUGUCGGAUCGUAAAGCUCUGUUGUAAGAGAAGAACGAGUGUGAGAGUGGAAAGUUCACACUGUGACGGUAGCUUACCAGAAAGGGACGGCUAACUACGUG